GGUCCCUUCGUAUAUCGGUUAGUACGUGAGAUUCUGAUUACGUAACACAUUUAUUGCGUUUGAACUUUCUCGAAAGGCCGGUUCGAUUCCGGCAGGGACCU